rnacentral:misc_RNA from 1 species
AUUAGGGGAAAAUUAAAGACUAAUAAAUUUUGGUUGAACAAGUGGCCUGUAACUUCUUAUGCGGGAAACACAGUAAUUCCUAUAGUUUCUCCUCUCAUAAGACACAUGCGGAUUUCAAAGUCUACACACAAACUACAUACAUCCAUCACCAGGAAACGCUAAUUAAGCAGAAUGGAAAUUAACACAAAUUAUUGUUGAGGCAAUGGAGGAACCAAAAUGAGCAACUGGGUGUAGUCUACCUGAUGGUAUAACCAAGACCAGAAGCGUAUUUCACGACCUUUUCCAACUCUUUCUCAUCGAUGCAUCCAUCUCCAUUUUCAUCAGCGAUUUUAAACGCCAUCGAGGCUCGGAAUCGAGGAACUUUAGCUCCCAAGGACUUGAAGCCUUCUUUAAGCUCUUGCCAGCUGAGAAUACCGUCUCCGUUACUGUCAGCUCUCAAAAGCAUUCCCUUCACUUGAGCCUCAUUCAAAAGCACACCAGGACAUGUGCGCAUAUGAAUGUUUUGCCUGCGCAUUUUUGUGUUAUCUAGAAAGGAGUAAGAGCUUUGGAGUAUAGAAUUUAACUAGCUAGUUGCUCCCUGAUGAACCAAACUCUAGCUAAGAAUUUAUAGAGAGGAGAGGAAUUAACUUGAACGUCUUCCUUAUUCCACUUUUCUUGAUUGAGAAGAAAAAAAAGAAGAACUAGAUAUUAUGAUUAAGCAUUUUGCUCUUGUGGAUCUCGU